rnacentral:rRNA from 1 species
CAGUAGCCGCGGUAAUGCGUAGGUGGCAAGCGUUGUCCGGAAUUAUUGGGCGUAAAGCGCGCGCAGGCGGAUCAGUCAGUCUGUCUUAAAAGUUCGGGGCUUAACCCCGUGAUGGGAUGGAAACUGCUGAUCUAGAGUAUCGGAGAGGAAAGUGGAAUUCCUAGUGUAGCGGUGAAAUGCGUAGAUAUUAGGAAGAACACCAGUGGCGAAGGCGACUUUCUGGACGAAAACUGACGCUGAGGCGCGAAAGCCAGGGGAGCGAACGGGAUUAGAUACCCCGGUAGUCCCUGUCUCUUAUACA